UGCUUGGAUGUCAGCUGGCAGAGUGGUGAAGACGGCCAUCGUGAGAGUCCUUUCUUCAGGUGUGACGUCCACAACCUCCAAGAGGGAAGAGAUGGGCUCUGCCUCUGUAUUAGGGGUGAUGUCCACAAUAUUUAGGUGGAAAGAAGCCGGCUCUGCCUCUGUGUUAGGGGUUAUGUCCACAUUAUUCAGGUGGAAAGAAGCCGGCUCUGCCUCUGUGUUAGGGGUUAUGUCCACAACAUUCAGGUGGGAAGAAGCCGGAUCUGCCUCUGUAUUAAGGGUUAUGUCCACAACAUUCAGGUGGAGAGAAGCCGGGUCUUCCUCUGUGUUAGGGGUGAUGUUCACAACCUCCAGGUGGGAAGAUGCCGGGUCUGCCUCUGUUUUUGGGGUGAUGUCUUGAACUUCCAGGUGGGAACAAGCCGGGUCUGCGUCUGUUUUUGGGGUGAUGUCCACAACCUCCAGGUGGGAACAAGCCGGGUCUGCCUCUGUGUUAGGGGUGACUUUCACAAUCUCCAGGUGGAAAGAAGCCGGAUCUGCCUCUGUGUUAGUGGUGAUGUCCACAACAUUCAGGUGGGAAGACGCUGGGUCUGUGUCAUGGGUGACAACAACAAUCCUGAUGAGCUCUACUACUACUACACCAAGAUGUCAUCAGAACAGGCAUCUGUCAGAGUGCUCGCUAU
rnacentral:lncRNA from 1 species